rnacentral:rRNA from 1 species
UACAGAGGUCUCAAGCGUUGUUCGGAUUCAUUGGGCGUAAAGGGUGCGUAGGUGGCGCCAUAAGUCAGGUGUGAAAUCUCGGGGCUUAACUCCGAAACUGCAUUUGAUACUGUGGUGCUUGAGGACUGGAGAGGAGACUGGAAUUCACGGUGUAGCAGUGAAAUGCGUAGAUAUCGUGAGGAAGACCAGUGGCGAAGGCGGGUCUCUGGACAGUUCCUGACACUGAGGCACGAAAGCUAGGGGAGCAAACAGG